rnacentral:rRNA from 1 species
UACAUGGGGUGCAAACGUUGCUCGGAAUUAUUGGGCGUAAAGCGCACGUAGGCGGUUUGUUAAGUCGGAUGUGAAAUCCCUCGGCUCAACUGAGGAAGUGCAUCCGAAACUGGCAGGCUUGAGUACUAAAGAGGGUCGCGGAAUUCCCGGUGUAGAGGUGAAAUUCGUAGAUAUCGGGAGGAACACCGGUGGCGAAGGCGGCGACCUGGGGUAGAUACUGACGCUGAGGUGCGAAAGCGUGGGGAGCAAACAGG